GAUGAAGAACGUAGCGAAGUGCGAUAAGUAAUGUGAAUUGCAGAAUUCCGUGAAUCAUCGAAUCUUUGAACGCAAAUUGCACUUUCUGGUAUUCCGGAGAGUAUGCCUGUUUGAGGGUCAGUGUAAUAAAAAUAAAUCGUGGUUGUUUGCCACCUUUUCGUGGUGACGCUUCGGAAUUGAGUCGUCUUUACCCCUUCGGGUUAAGUGACUUAAAAUUUUUUCAUACGAUUUCGAAACGUAUUUAAUGCAUUAACGUACGUUCACGAAUAUCGAAUGUUUUAUUAGGUGCGGUCAUUUUCAUGAAUUCGCGUCUAUAUUUUUUUUUUUUUUUGACCUCAAAUCAGGUAAGAGUACCCGCUGAACUUAAGCAUAUCAAUAAGCGGAGGA
rnacentral:misc_RNA from 1 species